GGGGCCUUAUCUCAGCGGUAGAGAGCCCGAUUCCAGUCCGGGAGGUCGUCCGUUCGAUCCGGGCAGGCCUCA